rnacentral:rRNA from 1 species
AUGCAUUAUUUUGUCCGCAUUGAUUUAGCUGUGAAUCACACAGAACCUUCUGCUAUCAACCGAUGGGGAUGCCAUUACAUUGAAAAUUGGCGAUUUUGGAUUUGCCCGAAGCUGGUGACCUGCUCCAAGGACAAGUUUAUCCGGGUCUGGGACCUCGACACACAACACUGCCUUCAAAUUGUUGAUGGCAAGGCCACCACACUGAGAUAUGGUCGAUGGGUGUUGAUCCUAGCGAGAAAUUUUUGGUGUCUCACUUGGACGAUCCAGAGCUGUGGGUGUUUAGAAUCAGGCAAUCAGCUGAAGAGAGUGAAGAUUGGAACAAAUGGGAUGCACUUCGUCAUUGAUCUAUUACUUUGA